GAUGAACGCUGGCGGCGUGCCUAAUACAUGCAAGUCGAGCGAACGGACGGGAAGCUUGCUUCUCUGAUGUUAGCGGCGGACGGGUGAGUAACACGUGGAUAACCUACCUAUAAGACUGGGAUAACUUCGGGAAACCGGAGCUAAUACCGGAUAAUAUUUUGAACCGCAUGGUUCAAAAGUGAAAGACGGUCUUGCUGUCACUUAUAGAUGGAUCCGCGCUGCAUUAGCUAGUUGGUAAGGUAACGGCUUACCAAGGCAACGAUGCAUAGCCGACCUGAGAGGGGGAUCGGCCACACUGGAGCUGAGACACGGUCCAGACUCCUACGGGAGGCAGCAGUAGGGAAUCGUCCGCAAUGGGCGAAAUCCUGACGGAGCAACGCCGCGUGAGUGAUGACGGUCUCCGGAUCGUAAAACUCUGUUAUUAGGGAAGAACAUAUGUGUAAGUAACUGUGCACAUCUUGACGGUACCUAAUCAGAAAGCCACGGCUAACUACGUG
rnacentral:rRNA from 1 species